rnacentral:rRNA from 1 species
AUUGAACGCUGGCGGCAGGCCUAACACAUGCAAGUCGAACGAGUGGCGGACGGGUGAGUAAUGUCUGGGAAACUGCCUGAUGGAGGGGGAUAACUACUGGAAACGGUAGCUAAUACCGCAUACCAUCGGAUGUGCCCAGAUGGGAUUAGCUAGUAGGUGGGGUAAAGGCUCACCUAGGCGACGAUCCCUAGCUGGUCUGAGAGGAUGACCAGCAAACCUGGAACUGAGACACGGCCCAGAUCCCUACGGGAGGCAGCAGGGGGGAAUAUUGCACAAUGGGGGCAAGCUUGAUGCAGCCAGGCCGGGUGUAGGAAGAAGGCUUUCGGGUUGUAAAGUACUUUAAGCGGGGAGGCGUUACCAGCAGAAGAAGCACCGGCUAACUCCGUGCCAGCAGCCGCGGUAAUU